rnacentral:misc_RNA from 1 species
GGGAAGGGAUGAUCCUUGGAGACCGGGAACAGCCGGAUGUACAUGUACCGAUUCUUCUCCACCGACAAAACCCAGUUCCAGUUGCCGAUCUUGAAGGGGUCGGAGCGGCGGUGAGAACAGGGGCCGAAGUUCUCGAUCCGCCACUGCGCUAGCCGGGAGAUCGUCUCCACCUUCGAGUCGCUCCCGCCGGAGCCGCCGCUGCUGGUCAUCAUCAUCU